GAGGAGAGAACUUGGUCUAGGUUCGCCUUGUACUGAGAUUUUCGAAUCUUUCUUCUGGGGAAACGGGGUGCCUUUACUGUGUGCUCCGGGGAACCAGGACGAUUACCUUGAGAAAAAUAGAGUGUUCAAAGCAGGCUUAUGCUUGAAUACGUUAGCAUGGAAUAAUAAAAUAGGACUUUGGUUCUAUUUUGUUGGUUUUAAGGACCAAUGUC
rnacentral:rRNA from 1 species